rnacentral:rRNA from 1 species
AUUAGAUACCCUGGUAGUCCACGCUGUAAACGAUGAUUACUAGGUGUGGGUGGACUGACCCCAUCCGUGCCGGAGUCAACACAAUAAGUAAUCCACCUGGGGAGUACGGCCGCAAGGCUGAAACUCAAAGGAAUUGACGGGGGCCCGCACAAGCAGUGGAGUAUGUGGAUUAAUUCGAUGCAACGCGAAGAACCUUACCAGGUCUUGACAUCCCGCUAACGAGGCAGAGAUGUGUCAGGUGCCCUUCGGGGAAAGCGGAGACAGGUGGUGCAUGGUUGUCGUCAGCUCGUGUCGUGAGAUGUUGGGUUAAGUCCCGCAACGAGCGCAACCCUUAUGGUUAGUUGCUACGCAAGAGCACUCUAGCCAGACCGCCGUUGACAAAACGGAGGAAGGUGGGGAUGAUGUCAAAUCAUCAUGCCCCUUAUGACCUGGGCCUCACACGUACUACAAUGGCCAUUAACAGAGGGAGGCAAAGCCGCGAGGCAGAGCAAAACCCUAAAAAUGGUCUCAGUUCGGAUCGCAGGCUGCAACCCGCCUGCGUGAAGUUGGAAUUGCUAGUAAUCGCGGAUCAGCAUGCCGCGGUGAAUACGUUCCCGGGCCUUGUACACACCGCCCGUCACACCAUGGAAGUCGGUAAUGCCCGAAGUCAGUAGCCUAACCGCAAGGGGGGCGCUGCCGAAGGCAGGAUUGAUGACUGGGGUGAAGUCGUAACAAGGUAAC